rnacentral:rRNA from 1 species
CCUACGGGAGGCAGCAGUAGGGAAUAUUGCUCAAUGGGGGAAACCCUGAAGCAGCAACGCCGCGUGGAGGAUGAAUGUUUUCGGAUUGUAAACUCCUUUUUUUAGAGAAGAUAAUGACGGUAUCUAACGAAUAAGCACCGGCUAACUCCGUGCCAGCAGCCGCGGUAAUACGGAGGGUGCAAGCGUUACUCGGAAUCACUGGGCGUAAAGCGCGCGUAGGCGGGAUAGCAAGUCAGAUGUGAAAUCCUAUGGCUUAACCAUAGAACUGCAUUUGAAACUGUUAUUCUAGAGUAUGGGAGAGGUAGGUGGAAUUCUUGGUGUAGGGGUAAAAUCCGUAGAGAUCAAGAGGAAUACUCAUUGCGAAGGCGACCUGCUAGAACAUAACUGACGCUGAUGCGCGAAAGCGUGGGGAGCAAACAGGAUUAGAUACCCUUGUAGUC